UAGAUUAAAGUCCGCUGGUUUGGAUUUUUANUUGUUAACUANAUAUUUACGGGAUCGAGGCCCGUUGAUCUAG
rnacentral:tRNA from 1 species